rnacentral:lncRNA from 1 species
UGGGAGAACGCCCCGCCGGUUUCCAAGGAUGCAACUAUGAAGAGACACAGUGGGGGCUACGAAUGGGUCGUGACUGUGGCCCACGCCAGGCGAGCGUCCCCGCCCCAGCCCCUCUGCCAUCUGCGUGCCUGUUCUCCCGCUACCUGCCCCCGCGCCAGGAUCCAGGCUUGCAAACGUCCCCAUGCCAUGCACAGGCACAUCUCGGGCGGCCAGCCAGGCACACACUGCGGGGUGUCAUUAGCUGCAGCGCCGCCUAAACGCGGCGGCCCGUGCAGAACCACGGCCAGGCCACCUGCACGGGCCAGGGAGGUGAUGGGGACAGCGAGGGAUGUGCCAAACCCCACCGGGGGGUUGGGAGGGGGGGCGCUUUCAUCCUAAGGUGACUUCCGUUGUUUUUUAAUAAAAACAUAUUUUAA